GGGAGCCGCCGAGGUGGGCUGCCUGACCCUGCCCGGGCACUGCCACUUUUGGGGGGCCCGGGGGUUUAUCUCUUGUGGCUUAUUUUAGGGGAGAAGCGCAGGGUGUUGGUGAGCCCCGGGUUGGCUCCCCCAGUGUUGCAGGGAGUGGUUUGUUGUGUGUCAGGAGCAAGGUAAAGGAAAAAUACUGGCUCUAGAGGCAAUAAGGCUGGAAAACUUGGUGUGAAGGGAGGUCAAGCUGCCAGCUGGUAAAACAUUGAGGUAUUUUAUAGACUUACAAGAAAAAAAAAGGCGUCCCUAAAUAAAACAGGAAUCAGUGGGGCUGUUCAGUCUGAAUAUCAGUGGGAUGAGCAGCAACUGAAGUACACUUUCCAGAAGAGACUGAAACUAACCAAGGCUCCUGGCUUGGCGAGCAGAGCUGUUCUCACUCUUCUGGAGGUGAUGAUAAUCUCAGGCAACUUGCAUCUGAGCAUACUUGGCAUGCACAAAUGGUGUGCAGAGAGCUUGGGACAGAAAAGGUGGGAAGAGGAUAUCAACCGGUAUCCUGCUUUGAGCAAAAAAAUCUACAGUAGGAACUAAGUUUUUUUCCUAGCAAACUAGAAAAGUCUUACCCCUCUUAAAUUCACUAGUCAGGGAGAGAAUAUCUUCCCUGUUCUCCUUGGCAGUGAGAGAAUCAAGCGCUGCUUUGUCAGAGCAUCUUAAGGGGAGAGGAAAAAAAAAUUGAAGACUACUUUGGAAAACGGACAUGAUAGGACAAGAUGUGGGAGAGCCAAGCACUGUUACUUGACUGAAUGAUCUUUGGAUGAGGUCUGCCUUGGCUGUGGUUAAGUAUUGUACAUAACACAACGGACUCUAGAUCUUACAGUAAUAAGUGUUAGCAUGUGCAGAUGUUCAUGAUCUUAGUGCUUGGCCCACAAGUGCUACAUUAACCACAACAGCUGAUGGGGUCAGUGCUGGAAAUCAUGAUGCAAUUGGGGAUUCAGUCCAACACUCAUUCUUGAGUGAAUACCAUUUCUGUUUCAACUUGAUGUAUUCAGCUGAAUCGAAGUGUAACAGCUUUGUGCUUUGGGUUAUUGAUUAUGCUGAAACUUCUGAGCUAAGGAAUACCUCUUGCUAUUUACUGCUUAUGUUGGUUGUGAUAAAAUAGGAUUUGUGUUAGAGAGUGCUGUCUUGUCAAAAACGCACUAUUGUAAAUGCAGCAAUGCUGUCAAACUUUACAGAUAGAAUUUGCCACUUGCGUGUUGGAAUAAGCUUAGGACCCAUGAGAAUGGCAUGAAGCUGCUUCCUGGGAGGGUCAGGUUGGGUGUUAGGAGAAGGUUUUUCACUGAGAGGAUGGUCAGGCACUGGGACAGGCUCCCCAGGGCAGUGGUCACAGCACCAAGCUGCUGGAGUUCAAGAAGUGUUUGGACAAUGCUCUCAGACACGUGGUCUGACUUUUAUUUUUUGGGGGGUGGCCCUGUAUAUGGAGCCAGGGGUUGUACUCCCCAAUCCUUUAGGGUCCCUUCGUGGUUCUGUGAUUCAAGAACAGUGGAGGCAUGCCUGUGUGAACUGCAUGUCUACUCAAUUUAUUUUGCUUAACAAAACAUGGCAAUGCCAGGACACUCUUCAAGUUUAGGCUUAGGAUAACGAACCAAAAGUGAGACUUGAUGAGAGGCUGAGAAGGGAAGCACUCUAGGAUUUCUUGUGCCAAAGCUAUAAUAACACCUAGAGGCUAAACCGUAAUUUGGUGUUGUACUCUCUGAAAUGUUUUGAUUUUUAGCUACAGAUGCAUCUUCCUGAAACAGGUUCAGUUUCCAGUCUGCCUAUUAAGAAGCAUCACAAAAUAAAAUGCAUCAAUUUAGUUCUGGUGCUGAUAAAGCCUGCAGUGCAUCUUCAUAGUCACUUGGAGGGGCAUGCAAAGGCUUUCUGGCAAACACCUACUGUCUUUUAAACACAGCAGAAGACUGCGAGGGCAUCUACAACUGUGUGGUGGAGCAAUGACUCAGCUAUCUAGAGCUGAAGCAUCAGCCGCUGUUAAUGCUGCAGCACUCAUCCUCAAAAGCCAGUUUACAUGUGUGAUAUCUGUGCCUUCUCUACAUAUUGUAAUAUAAAGACAGCAGAAAUGACUAAAGAGAUGAAAUAGUUUCCAAAUGACUAACUAGACUGAAGUGUCAGCCUAGAGAUGACUUGACUUGGGUGGGGACAAGCUUGUCUUCCAGAACACCAUGAGUGACAGUAGGAAAGUGGCUGCUACCUCGCCCAGUCUGGAAAAAAAAAAUCAAACCAGCAAGCUUCAUAUAAAAGCUCUUUCUUUGCAUGGUGUAUAGUUAAACUAUAAACUAUAUACCUUUAAGGUAUCAUGGAUGUUAAAAACUUACAUGCUCAAAAUAACUAGAUAAAUACAUGGGACUGGGGAGGUACAUCCUCAAGGGACUAUUUUAUGAUAAGAAGCUACUGGCAACUUAGAAAGUAUGUUGAUUUGUGCAUUGUUAAGACCUGGUGGAGUUACUUUAAAUUAUCUGUUUGCACGUGCACCACUCUUAAACUCUUGUAGGCAUCUGCUGUGAGAGACAGGAUGCGGAGUAGAUGAGCCUUUCGUCUUGGUGACAAGUCCCAGUCUUGCACAAUCAAGAGGAGAACAUUUUAAGGAGGUGGAUUGCCUGUACAGAUUUCUAAUGGCCUGUCUCCAAGAUGAAUGUGAUACAAUAUUUGCAAAGGAAAAAAAGAAGGACGACUUCAUUUUAUGAGAACUCUUUAUUAAUUCAUCUGAAAAAAUACUGUUUUAUUAAAUUACCAAGGCAUUUAAGGGGAAGAAAACCCAGGGAUUUCAGGUAUGUAGGCUUCUUCAAUUUAAUGAGAAGUGUGCUUUUUGGUAAGAUUUUCAUUCCUACCUCUCCAGCAUACUUAUUGCUCUACUGCCUCACGAGUAGUAAGCAUGAUUGGCGAGUGGGAUGGUAAGCUUUGUGUGUAAUGAAGUUGUACUUGCACAUCUAAAUUUGUCUUCCUAGAUUGCUUCCUUGUAACUUGUAAAUAUGUGGCUUGAAGUCUUUUAAAUCAUUAAGCCUAGACAUGUAAAUAGUAAGUGUGAGAUUUUUGGGUCACCUUUGGAAUGGAUGGCUAGGCAAAAGACAGUAAAUAAUGCAGUGGAACGUGAGCAUGAUUAUGAUCAAAAUAAACCCAGUCCUUGAGGGCUGCAGCAUAUUCAC